rnacentral:rRNA from 1 species
CCCUACGGGGUGCACCAGGCGCGAAACCUCUACAAUGCACGAAAGUGUGAUAGGGGGAUCCUACCGAGUGCAGUCCGAUUAGGGUUGGUUUCCGGAGUGUAAACAGCUCCGGGAAUAAGGGCUGGGCAAGUCCGGUGCCAGCCGCCGCGGUAA